rnacentral:rRNA from 1 species
GUAGCAAUACAUGGCGUACUGCUCAGUAACACGUGGACAACCUACCCUCCGGACGGGUAUAAACCCGGGAAACUGGGUAUAAUCCCCGAUAGAUCUCGGUCGCUGGAAAGCCCCGAGAUCGAAAGCUCCGGCGCCAGAGGAUGGGUCUGCGGCCUAUCAGGUAGUAGUGGGUGUAGCGUACCUACUAGCCUACGACGGGUACGGGUUGUGAGAGCAAGAGCCCGGAGAUGGAUUCUGAGACACGAAUCCAGGCCCUACGGGGUGCAGCAGGCGCGAAAACUUUACAAUGCCGGCAACGGCGAUAAGGGGACCUCGAGUGCCAGGUUACAAAUCUGGCUGUCGUGAUGCCUAAAAAGCAUUGCAUAGCAAGGGCCGGGCAAGACCGGUGCCAGCCGCCGCGGUAACACCGGCGGCUCGAGUGGUAACCGUUAUUAUUGGGUCUAAAGGGUCUGUAGCCGGCCGGAUAAGUCUCUUGAGAAAUCCAGCAGCUCAACUGUUGGGCUUUCAGGAGAUACUGUCUGGCUCGAGGCCGGGAGAGGUGAGAGGUACUUCAGGGGUAGGGGUGAAAUCUUGUAAUCCUUGAAGGACCACCAGUGGCGAAGGCGUCUCACCAGAACGGACCUGACGGCAAGGGACGAAAGCUAGGGGCACGAACCGGAUUAGAUACCCGGGUAGUCCUAGCCGUAAACGAUACUCGCUAGGUGUCGGCCACGGUGCGACCGUUGUCGGUGCCGUAGGGAAGCCGUGAAGCGAGCCACCUGGGAAGUACGGCCGCAAGGCUGAAACUUAAAGGAAUUGGCGGGGGAGCACCACAACGGGUGGAGC